UUGCUCCCUGGUAGUACGGUAGAUACUCUGAGGCUAAAAUAAAACAAACCCUGUCAACAGACUAGGCCCUUUUGAUCAGUCGGAAAUGCUCAGUACUACAGAAGCAGACCUCAUCUCUAUACCAACUGAGUUAUUUCCAUAAAACUGAUCCUGUCUCCUGGAGAUGGCUAGUAUCCAGUCCCCCAGUGCAGAAGAAAGAAGCUCAGUUUCUCAAAUGGCCAAGGACCGCUGCUGGUAGACAGAUAGGGAAUGGAUGGGUUGGAAGAAAGGAGAAGAGCAGAACAGAGUCAAGCGUCAGCGUUUGAGCUAUUCCAGAGUGAACCCACCAAUCUCAGGUUUGGUCUUUUGAAGCAAACCAAGAUCCCCAGGAAACUGUGGGAUGUUCACGUACUUGCCAUUGAACACAGAGUUGUUGAUCCAACGCCACCUUUUCUCUUCACGAUUGUAAAUUAAGCCAAUAAAAUACUUCUCUGUAUCAGCUAUGUCCUGAAGAAACUUCUAGAAAUUAAAAAAAAAAAUUU